UCCGAAGGGGGCUAGCGUUGCUCGGAAUGACUGGGCGUAAAGGGCGCGUAGGCGGCGGACACAGUCAGAUGUGAAAUUCCCGGGCUCAACCUGGGGGCUGCAUUUGAUACGUGUUUGCUUGAGUGGGGAAGAGGGUCGUGGAAUUCCCAGUGUAGAGGUGAAAUUCGUAGAUAUUGGGAAGAACACCGGUGGCGAAGGCGGCGACCUGGUCCUUGACUGACGAUGAGGCGCGAAAGCGUGGGGAGCAAACAGG
rnacentral:rRNA from 1 species